AUGAACGCUGGCGGCGUGCCUAAUACAUGCAAGUCGAGCGAACGGACGAGAAGCUUGCUUCUCUGAUGUUAGCGGCGGACGGGUGAGUAACACGUGGAUAACCUACCUAUAAGACUGGGAUAACUUCGGGAAACCGUAGCUAAUACCGGAUAAUAUUUUGAACCGCAUGGUUCAAAAGUGAAAGACGGUCUUGCUGUCACUUAUAGAUGGAUCCGCGCUGCAUUAGCUAGUUGGUAAGGUAACGGCUUACCAAGGCAACGAUGCAUAGCCGACCUGAGAGGGUGAUCGGCCACACUGGAACUGAGACACGGUCCAGACUCCUACGGGAGGCAGCAGUAGGGAAUCUUCCGCAAUGGGCGAAAGCCUGACGGAGCAACGCCGCGUGAGUGAUGAAGGUCUUCGGAUCGUAAAACUCUGUUAUUAGGGAAGAACAUAUGUGUAAGUAACUGUGCACAUCUUGACGGUACCUAAUCAGAAAGCCACGGCUAACUACG
rnacentral:rRNA from 1 species